rnacentral:rRNA from 1 species
UGGACAGAAAGACCCUAUGAAGCUUUACUGUAGCUUGGUAUUGGGUUCGGGCUUUGACUGCGCAGAAUAGGUGGGAGGCUUUGAGACAUUCCUUGUGGGGAAUGUGGAGCCACCGGUGAGAUACCACUCUGUUAAGGCUAGAAUUCUAACCUUCACCCGUUAUCCGGGGAGGGGACAGUAUCAGGUGGGCAGUUUGACUGGGGCGGUCGCCUCCUAAAUUGUAACGGAGGCGCGCAAAGGUUCUCUCAGGCUGGUCGGAAAUCAGCCGUUGAGUGCAAAAGCAUAAGAGAGCUUGACUGUGAGACGUACAUGUCGAACAGGUACGAAAGUAGGCUUUAGUGAUCCGACGGUUCCGCGUGGAAGGGCCGUCGCUAAACGGAUAAAAGUUACUCUAGGGAUA